AUACGGAGGGUCCAAGCGUUAUCCGGAAUCAUUGGGUUUAAAGGGUCCGCAGGCGGUCAAUUAAGUCAGUGGUGAAAGCCCAUCGCUCAACGAUGGAACUGCCUUUGAUACUGGUUGACUUGAGUUAUACGGAAGUAGAUAGAAUAAGUAGUGUAGCGGUGAAAUGCAUAGAUAUUACUUAGAAUACCGAUUGCGAAGGCAGUCUACUACGUAUAUACUGACGCUGAGGGACGAAAGCGUGGGGAGCGAACAGGAUUAGAAACCCUAGUAGUCC
rnacentral:rRNA from 1 species